AAGAUGAAUAUCUCUUCCUUUGGGGCUUCUCAAAAGCGGGCCCAGUAGGAAUGGUCAUUUUGUACAGUCCAGGCUGUAAGUGUCAGGAGCUUUGAACGCUCAGCACGCUUCCCACUGUGCUGAGAAUGCAGGGGAGAUUGGGUGUUGACCUUCUUUAGAGUAUAUUUGCCCAGCUAAUGGGAGUCCCUUAAUGGGACUCAAAUGGCUUAAUGCCAUCAAAAUACAAAAACUGGAAAUCCAUUUUCACACUUUCAUUCGGAUAAUCCCAGCCACCCGUAUCUCACAAGAGCAUGGCAGGAAUUCUUCAAGGCUGGUCCCCUCUCCCCCGCGCCGGAGAUGAUGGAUGGAUCUUCCAAAGACGCGAUUUUCGGCUUCCGGCCUGCAUCCGGCCUCAGGAUGAAGCCGCUCUGGGUCCUCCUCAUACCAGUAAAUCUGGGAUCAAAUCUUCUCCAGCUUCGUCUGUCCUGCCUGCUCCCGAGGGUCUGGCCGUUGUCAGGGAUGGAACCUGGGCCCCCAGCAGAGGAAGCGCGGAGUUCUAAUCACUGGACCACCAGGGAAGUUCCUGCAUCUCCUGUCCCUUGAAAGGACCUGACAGCAGCAGAAGCCGUGUGGGUCGGUUUUCCCAGCACAUCAUUUCUCGGGCUCCGGGUCAGUCCACGGGCCUUUCCUUGGUGCCACUUGCCCAGCACGGCCACGUGUCUCUCCAUCUCCAAUAUCAUCAAGGAGCAACGCCUUUUCCCUCAUCCCACCCGCAUCCCUGCCGGCCCCUGGGUCCUCCCAGACACAAGUGCUGGGCUCACGGGAUGUGUCGCUAUUCUCUUUGCUUCAGCUGCCUUGGGGACAGAGUAGCCUGCAUUUGGGAAUGAUUUAGAGUUUUUGCAUAUAUUACUUCAUUCGAGUCUCACAAAUUCUGGGAAUUAACAGAAGCAUUUUCUAGACGUGGAAACUGAGCCUCAGAUUCAGCAGUACAUUCGUAACCAGUGACACUGGGUUUGAAUCUAAGGAUUUCAGGUUCUUUCCCUCAGUUCCUUUCUAACUGUGUAUUUUUGCAGCAUGAGUCUUGUGCUUUUGUAGUUUGGUCACCCAGAUGCUCCAGAGCCCCACCGUGGUACUCGGCCGGCCUGGCUGCUGAGAGCUGCGUGUGUUGAUACAGGCAGAGCCAGGAGGACGCUGGCCACAAGCCCGGCCAGUCCCCAACUCUCUGCUCUGUCCCUGGCAGCAGGUGGCAGUUUCCAUUCCGCCUCCGCACCGUCCUGUGUGCCCCGGGGCAGGACAGCAGCUGGGAGGCGGGAGCCCGGGCCAGGCCCGUCCAGGCCCCACAUGUGGCUCCAUUCCCACAGGGUGACAGCCAUGCUCCUUAGCCAGGAGGCCAAGCCCCUCCCCUGCCAGUCCAGCCUCCUUCUUCCAACUCCCUGCCGGCCGUCCCCUGUCCCCAUAGCCCUGCUCUCAGCACGACGCUCAGCACCUGCCAAGCCCCUUUGCCUCUCUCCCUCCGUCCUGGCUCGCCGACAAGGGCCUGUGUCCAUUGCUCUGUGGGCCGGUAGGGAGUGAGGAGAAAGGAUCUGCAAGGAAACUUGGCACCUGUGAGAGAAAGGGCACUGUCACCGGGCCCUGGCUGCACUAUUGCCACCCACGGCACCUCUUCUGCCGCGUCAGCCUGGGCUCCCCUUGGUUUGCUAACUUUGAUUCCCCAACAGUAACGCAGCAAGGCAGCUCCAAGUGAAGCAAGGCCACCUGCUCCAAGCAGGCGGGUCGGGGGAAAGGGAAUCCCUCCGGCAACCAUGGGAUCUCGGGAAGCAGACACGUGCUUGCGUAGAGAGUGCAAGCGUGAAGUUCGCAUUAGCCAGAUGGACCUGGGUUGGAACCCUGGCCGCCCCGGACAACAUCGUGUAACCUGGUGACUCCCCCGGUGGCCGGGAGCCGGGGGCUGACGGAGAGAAGGCCGGCAAGGCGCCGGCUGGUCUGCGCCUUCGGUGGUCCCUGAUCUCGUUAGGUUAUUAUUACUGCCCGGUGGUGGGGCGGGCCUGAGGGGGAGGGGUACAGGUCUGUUCCAGGGGGGACAGGAUCUGACAUGAUGAAUCCUUCAUACGUGGCCCCGAACGAGCACUGUUCUCGUUCAGUCCUCCCAACCAACUUAGGCUCGUCCCCAGGUCAAGCCUGAGGGAGCAAAGCCUCCGAGGCCACCCCGCCAGGGGACAGACCCCUGCCCUCAGCCGUCCUCCCAUCUGCUUCCCCGAGAUCCCAAAGCCCCGGGUUCCCCCCACCUUUGCUCAUUUUCCACGUAGCUAUGCUUUGUCCUCUGCAUCCACAGACUGAGUUAUUUCUGCUCAAAACCACCAUUUGCUCUGCAAGAUUAAUUCCGAGUCCUCAGUCUGGCCCGGGAGAGGGACCCCCAGCCCCGCUCAGCGCCUGGCCUCCCCACCGCCCCGGUUCUGUGGCUGCACCUGAAGCUGCUGGGCCUGAGGGACCCUCCUCCUUCCCCUGUAACGCCCGGUUAAGGGUCAGCUCCAUGGGGAAGCUCCGCCCCCCUCACCAGGCAGAGGCUGUUGCUUCUCUGCGGUCACCACCCCACCAUGGGGUAGCUGAUGGGUGUGCACGGUACCCCAUGAGCUAAUCAAGAAAAUCAGCAUUUAUUGUCCUCCUUUGCACAAUGGGGCUAAUUGUGCUAAAAGGAGUAUUUUUUUUAAACGUCUUUUUUUGGAAUAUAAUUGCUUUACAAUGGUGUGUUAGUUUCUGCUUUAUAACAAAGUGAAUCAGCUAUACAUAUACAUAUAUCCCUAUAUCCCUUCCCUCUUUCAUUUCCCUCCCUUCCUCCCUACCCCACCCCUCUAGGUGGACACAAAGCACCGAGCUGAUCUCCCUGUGAUAUGCGACUGCUUCCCACUAUCUAUCUGUUUGACAUUUGGUGGUGUAUAUAUGUCCAUGCCACUCUCUCGCUUCAUCCCAGUUUACCCUUCCCCCUCCCCGUGUCCUCAAGCCCAUGCUCUACAUCUGCGUCUUUAUUCCUGUCCUGCCCUUAGGUUCUUCAGACUUUUUUUUUUUUUCAUUUUAGAUUCCAUAUAUAUGUGUUAGCAUACGGUAUUUGUUUUUCUCUUUCUGACUUACUUCACUCUGUAUGACAGACUCUAGGUCCAUCUGCCUCACUACAAAUAACUUAAUUUCGUUUCUUUUUAUGGCUGAGUAAUAUUCCAUUCUAUACAUGUGCCACAUCUUCUAAAAGGAGUAUUUUAUAAGGUUUUUAUUUUAUAAAAAUUAAAUGAGUUAACACAGUACCUAGAAUAAUGCUUGGUUCACAGUAAGAGCUAAUAAGGCUGGCUGUUACUAAUAUGACACUCUUGGUAGAUGUUAAAAUAAUACAUGAGAAUGGAAUGAGAAGUCCAAUGGAACCUUUGCCUGUCAUAGACUUUUGGUUUCCUUUCUUUCCUAUCUAUUAAAAAACCUCCAGCCCAAUGUGACUUUCAAAGUUUAUAAAAUGUGAAGAAUGAGUUAGUUUAAAUGUCACAGAAAAAGUUAGUGUGCUCAGUUCCCACCAUAUUACUUCUUGGAAGAUAUCCAGCAUUCAAACCAUACACCACCACUGUCCUUUAGUUUGUCUUUAAAUAAAAAUCUUCAUUUCUCGACUGACGGUAAAGAACUUGGCAUUGGAAAAAUUAACGUUUGAUGCUGGUGCAGAGUCAGAGAAAGCUGUCCCUUGAGUAUAUUUGGGGCUUGUUUUAGCCAGAUUAACUUUAGUUUUUGGUGAGAUGAGAUUUUCAGCUGUUUUUCAGUACUGCAGAGACACACAGCACUAUAGCGUUUAUUUCAUAUAAAAUAAACCCAGGGUUUCAGUGCUCCCAAGGGCUCUCGUCAUAGACCGAGGAAAAGUAGAGACCAGAAAGGCAUUAAUAUUAUUAGUUCUGAUCGCGGGCCAAGCACAGAGCUCUGGGCUUAGAUGAUCUCAUCCAGGAUGUGGGAUAAAUAGGAAUGGAACUGUUGAAUAUUUGGGAUGAAAUGUAAGCAUUUUGGGAAUCUAUAUGCAGCAGAUGUGGCCCCCUCCUCUCACUGUGUGUCUGUGCGUCCAUCCACGCUGCAGCACCAUUGGGCGUCUACGUGGUGCUACAGCCCAGCACUCCAGGGAGAGUGAGAUGGCAAAUUAACCUCCGUGCUCGUAGCACAGAGC